AUUGAACGCUAGCGGCAUGCUUUACACAUGCAAGUCGAACGGUAACAGGGUGCUUGCACCGCUGACGAGUGACGAACGGGUGAGUAAUGCGUCGGAACGUGCCGAGUAGUGGGGGAUAACGCAGCGAAAGUUGUGCUAAUACCGCAUACGUACUGAGGUAGAAAGUGGGGGACCUUCGGGCCUCACGCUAUUCGAGCGGCCGACGUCUGAUUAGCUAGUAGGUGAGGUAAGAGCUCACCUAGGCGACGAUCAGUAGCGGGUCUGAGAGGAUGAUCCGCCACACUGGGACUGAGACACGGCCCAGACUCCUACGGGAGGCAGCAGUGGGGAAUUUUGGACAAUGGGCGCAAGCCUGAUCCAGCCAUGCCGCGUGUCUGAAGAAGGCCUUCGGGUUGUAAAGGACUUUUGUCAGGGAGGAAAUCCUAGUGGCUAAUAACUGCUGGGGAUGACAGUACCUGAAGAAUAAGCACCGGCUAACUACGUGCCAGCCGCCGCAGUAAGAC
rnacentral:rRNA from 1 species